AGAGUUUGAUCCUGGCUCAGGAUGAACGCUAGCUACAGGCUUAACACAUGCAAGUCGAGGGGAAACGACAUCGAAAGCUUGCUUUUGAUGGGCGUCGACCGGCGCACGGGUGAGUAACGCGUAUCCAACCUGCCCAUCACUUGGGGAUAACCUUGCGAAAGUAAGACUAAUACCCAAUGACGUCUCUAGAAACAUCUGAAAGAGAUUAAAGAUUUAUCGGUGAUGGAUGGGGAUGCGUCUGAUUAGCUUGUGCGGGUAACGCCACAAGGCGACGAUCAGUAGGGUUCUGAGAGGAAGGUCCCCCANAUUGGAACUGAGACACGGUCCAAACUCCGUACGGGAGGCA
rnacentral:rRNA from 1 species